rnacentral:rRNA from 1 species
CCUACGGGAGGCAGCAGUGAGGAAUAUUGGUCAAUGGGCGCGAGCCUGAACCAGCCAAGUAGCGUGAGGGAAGACGGUCCUAUGGAUUGUAAACCUCUUUUGGCGGGGAGCAAUGCCGGGCACGUGUGCCCGGAGGGAGAGUACCCGCAGAAUAAGCAUCGGCUAACCCCGUGCCAGCAGCCGCGGUAAGACGGAGGAUGCGAGCGUUAUCCGGAUUUAUUGGGUUUAAAGGGUGCGGAGGCGGAUUUUUAAGUCAGCGGUAAAAUAUCCGGGCUCAACCCGGGCCGGCCGUUGAAACUGGGGGUCUUGAGUGGGCGAGAGGUAUGCGGAAUGCGUGGUGUAGCGGUGAAAUGCAUAGAUAUCACGAAGAACUCCGAUUGCGAAGGCAGCAUACCGGCGCCCGACUGACGCUGAGGCACGAAAGCGUGGGGAUCGAACAGGAUUAGAUACCCUUGUAGUC